rnacentral:rRNA from 1 species
UACGGAGGGUGCAAACGUUGCUCGGAAUCAUUGGGCGUAAAGCGCGCGUAGGCGGUCUCGUAAGUCGGAUGUGAAAGCCCUCGGCUCAACCGAGGAAGUGCACCCGAAACUGCGAGACUUGAGUGUCGGAGAGGGUGACGGAAUUCCCGGUGUAGAGGUGAAAUUCGUAGAUAUCGGGAGGAACAUCAGUGGCGAAGGCGGUCACCUGGACGAUAACUGACGCUGAGGCUCGAAAGCGUGGGGAGCAAACAGG